GCUUGAGCACGUAGGUGGGUUUGUAAGUCAGGUGUGAAAGCCUUCUGUUCAACGGGAGAAUUGCAUCUGAAACUACGAAUCUUGAGUGUAGGAGGGGAGAAUGGAACUUCUGGUGGAGCGGUGAAAUGCGUAGAUAUCAGAAGGAACGCCGGCGGCGAAAGCGAUUCUCUGGCCUAUUACUGACACUCAGUGUGCAAAAGCUAGGGGAGCAAACGGGAUUAGAUACCCCGGUAGUCCUAGCCGUAAACGAUGGGCACUAAGUAGUGGGAAUUACCGAUGUUCUCUCUGCCGUAGCUAACGCAUUAAGUGCCCCGCCUGGGGAGUACGGCCGCAAGGCUAAAACUCAAAAGAAUUGACGGGGGCUCGCACAAGCGGUGGAGCAUGUGGCUUAAUUCGAUGCAACGCGAAAAACCUUACCGGGGCUUGACAUGUUAGAAGUAGGAACCUGAAAGGGUAACGAACGGUAUCCAGUCCGUAGCUAUCACAGGUGUUGCAUGGCUGUCGUCAGCUCGUGUCGUGAGACGUUGGGUUAAGUCCCCUAACGAGCGAAACCCUUGUUUUUAGUUACCAGCGGGUUGUGCCGGGUACUCUAGAAAGACUGCCGUCGUCAAGACGGAGGAAGGUGGGGAUGACGUCAAGUCAUCAUGGCCCUUAUGCCCCGGGCUGCACACGCGCUACAAUGGUCGGUACAAACGGAAGCGAAGCCGAGAGGUGAAGCGAAUCCAAGC
rnacentral:rRNA from 1 species